UACGAAGGGUGCAAGCGUUACUCGGAAUUACUGGGCGUAAAGCGCGCGCAGGCGGUCUUCCAAGUCAGUGGUGAAAGCCCGGAGCUCAACUCCGGAACUGCCAUUGAAACUGUAAGACUUGAGGAUGAGAGAGGUGAGUGGAAUUCCCAGUGUAGAGGUGAAAUUCGUAGAUAUUGGGAAGAACACCGGUGGCGAAGGCGGCUCACUGGCUCAUUACUGACGCUCAGGCGCGACAGCGUGGGGAUCAAACAGG
rnacentral:rRNA from 1 species